AAAGAUCUGUUGAAGGGUAGGAUUGGAAUAUCAAAUUGCAGUUGUGUCUUUGCGUAACAGUUUGCAUAUAGGAGAUAAAAUGGUACAAUAGUACUAUCCUUAGCCCAUAAAAUCAACAUAGUGGAGGGAAGGGUGAUCUUGUACUAUGUACUAUUUUUCUGAUGCAAAUACUUUUGAUCUUAUUUCUAAUUUUUAGAGGCUUAUGAUGAAAUGAUGUUGAAGCAUGCUUGGAAGGAUCAACAAAUUAGUUGACAAAAUCUUCAGAACCUUGAUUUUUAGAGUCUUCAGAUCUUGUUCUUCAAAAUCUUCAAAACUUAAGCACAAAAUAUUGAAGGAUGGCAAUCCUUUAGAGGCUCUUCAAUCAGAGUCACAAUCAGAAGCUUUAACAUAAACGUUCAUCAGAACCGUUGUCUAAGAUCUUUCUAGAACUUGAUAGCGUCUUGUAAAGCACUUGUAUCUCUUUAGUGUCAGAGUGUGUUGAUUCCAGAAUCUGAUGACAUCACACGUCAAUACUUCAGAGUGAAAACCUGUUAGCAAAAUCUACACACUAGAUAAAAACCAUUAGUGUAAAAAAUUGUUCUCUAAGAAACCAUGCAUUGUUAUUAUCAAAACUAAAGACCAGAAGCAUAAACAAAUCAUGUUCUUACACAAGCUGCCACUAGCACCUCUACAAACCCAGUCCCGGUCUCGUAGUUCGACGAGAAGGAGUGUGAUGCUGAAAAGUGGCAUAAGACUUGGGACCACCAUACUCAUCCAUGUAACACUCUCUCCUUUUUAGCUCUUUGAUAAUUUAAUGAAUGCAAUUUUAUACAAGGAGAAUUAAAGUGAGUUAAACUUUCAAUGUGGGAUUAUUUCCUAUAUAUUGAAUGCUCAUUUACUCACUUUUAAGGUAUCUUUAUAUUAUUGGAGCACACUAAUGGUUAUUUAUUAAUUUCUUCAUUAGUUACAAUAAUCCCCUACUUAGCCUAAUAAUGACAAGACCAAUUCUAUAAAAGAAAACAAAGAUUUCUAAUUUAGUUAAAUAUAUUUUGAUUUGAACUUAACCUUAGUAAAGACAACACACAAUCUAAUCAGAAUUUUAGGUAGCAAAGCUUUCAACCUAUUAUUCCUUAUAAUUAGAUCGAUGUUGUCGCUACGCGAAAAAUACAAAGUCGCCAUCGGUUUUUAUUUAUUCCAAAGGAAAGGGAAAAUAUCGAGAAAACCCCAAAGUAUGGUCGUCGCAACCACGAACAAGUUCGGAAGUCGGUUAUGCAAGGGAAAGGUAUUAGCACCCCUCACAUCCAUGGUACUCCAUGGGAACCAUCUAGGAUGUUUGCGCUUACAUGUGUAUUACUUAUCGAAUGUUUGCUUGCCAAAGAUUUGCGAAGUGGAGGUAGAUUUUAAAUUAGUGUGCUCGCCAAGGAUUGGAUCCUCGUGCCUACGUAUGCCCACUUGUUGAAGUGAGAAAUCAGAGCCUUCGUAGUUCGUGGUUGAUUUUAUUUACCUUGAAGAAGGGUUUUCGAGUGUGUCUCCCUAAGGCUCAAACAAAAGGUUUGAAUGCGUUAAAUUGUUUUUAAGUUUUGAGAAAGUGUUAUUGAUUUCGAAUCGCACUAAAGACUAUGGAUAAAGGUGAAUACCUCAAACGGUCAAGCCAAAUGUCUUGUGUUCGAAGCAUUCAGAAUGAGUGUAGAAAAACUCCAGUCUCAUCCCUUCUUUAUCACUUAAGGUUCGUGACGUACGAUCCUAAUCACCAUUUAUUAUGUUUUUUGAGUUUGAUUUGGAAAAGGCCGCUUGACGUUGGAUUAAUGGUUUGUUUAUUGAAUUUGAUUUGAAAAAGACCACUUGACGUUGAAUCAAGGGUUUGAUUAUUGAUUUUGAGUGGUGUGCGUUCCUAAUGCCUAAGGAGUAUCUAAUCAAGCAAUACAAGAAAGUAAGUAAAUGCGUACAUCGGAAAAGGGAGGGGGUACAUGUAAAGUACAAGGGAUUGCAAGAAAUAAAAGAUCUCAUUGUCAGGUAGCCCAAGAGAAAGCCAUGUGUGUGCAAUUGUGUCAUAAACUAGAAAGCAAGUAAAAGAUUACAAUUUUUUCUUUGAAUGCUCCUUUCCAUGUUUGGGUUGAAUGAUUGUCCAAGGCCUUUUGCAAAGGGUCCUAAUGAGUCUCUAAGUCCAUUGUCCAAUGUCCAUUGCAUGCUAAGGAAUUAUCUUGUUUUUGUAUUUUUUAAGUAUUUGCCUUUUUUAUGUUCAUUUUAGAAUGAGAUGAAUAUGUGCAAUAUGGAAUAUAAAGCAAAUAAAAGCAAUUGUAAAGUAAAUUUGACAAAAAUAAAUGUUAGAAGUUAAUUGCGGAAUUUAAAAGUUAGAUGCGAAAAAGUAAAGAGUUAGAAGUUAAAAAUGCAGAAAUUAAAUGUUAG
rnacentral:lncRNA from 1 species